rnacentral:rRNA from 1 species
UACGUAGGUGGCAAGCGUUGUCCGGAUUUACUGGGCGUAAAGAGCGCGCAGGCGGUCGUUCAAGUCGCGUGUGAAAGCCCCCGGCUCAACUGGGGAGGGUCACGCGAUACUGGUCGACUCGAAGGCAGGAGAGGGUAGUGGAAUUCCCGGUGUAGUGGUGAAAUGCGUAGAGAUCAUGAGGAAGACCAGUGGCGAAGGCGGGUCUCUGGACAGUUCCUGACACUGAGACACGAAGGCCAGGGGAGCAAACGGG